rnacentral:lncRNA from 1 species
UAUCCCGCUAAACUUGCUAAAGUAAACAAAAGUCGACGCAGAAUCAUCGACCGGACAAAGACUUCGAACGAGCCUAAAUGGCUUGACUGAUCGCUAAAGGUAGCGGGUUGGAGCCGACGUGGCUAAGCUGAACUUGGUGAGGAGGGAGGUGACAUUGGAUCGAGAGCUCUUCGAAGAUCUUCUUGAGCUCGAGGACGAGAUCCGAUCGCCUGCCGUUCUUCUCGCUGAUGUUUUGGAAGUUGAUGGUGUGCUGAACAUACAAAGCCAUGUUCAUCUUGUUAACAUUCACAAUGUCCUUCACCACUAUGCUGUGGUUCGGCUGCCAAUGGGUGGGCUUACUCUCGAUAUAACUGAGAGACCACACAGAACCCUAUUAGUCGGCAAAUGUACGAAAAAUCAAAUGGGGCCUAAUCGCUUCCUAGUUCUUACUUGAAAGCGACAAACAAGGUGAUUAAAAUUUUGAAUUAAAAAACAAAGAAUCAAUGAGGAACUUACGCUUUUAUUUUGGAUUUCAGAGUCGCAAUGCUUUCCACAGAAGUCGAAAUGUCGACGGCGAAUCCAACGGAAUCGCUCAUAUUCGGGCUCCGGUAGAAGUUGCUGAUUGGUUUUGUCGACAAGACAGCAUUCGGAUAAUAUAUCUUCUCGUUGUCGUAUCUCAGAAAAACGGUCGUCAGAAUAUUCAUUUCUUCCACAGUCAUCUGUCGAUUUAAAUUAGUUCAUAGAAAUAUUAGAUCAUAGAACACUUUUUCCUUGUAUGUAUAUAUAUAUAUAUAUAAAAUCUUGUAUAUAUAGAAAAAAAAAAAUGCCAUCAUAUAUGAUUGUUUUUGAUAUUAACCUCACUUUUAUGGAGUAUAUACUACAAUAGGAUGUUUCAGGGCGAUGGAUAUACAUAUAUAUGAUAUUGCAGCAGGGACAUAUACAUAAGGUGCAAAAGUUGUAAUAAAGUCAAAAUAUUUACCUGUACUCCAUCAACGACGCAACGAUCGCCGACAUCGAAAGGGUGCAUAAUGAAGACGAAAAUGAUGGCUUCAAAUGUAGUCUUGCAUGUGUUUCCGAACAUGAAAACAACCACCAAAAGCUGGGACGAAAUGACGACGAUAACUUGGGUAGUUGCAAUGCCCAUCAUAAGAAGCAUAACAAUUAUAAUCACAAUAACAACAAUGAUGGUCGUUAGCUUGUGCAGUUGUCUGACUGCGGUUUUAGUGUCGUUUAGGGAAUGUGCAAGGGACUUCCGAUCGAGGUAGGCCUUCACCUGGAAACAUGGUCACAAAAAUUAAGCUAUUUACUCACAGCAAGCAAAAGAGCAUGUCCUUGAAGCAACUUUGAGGUUCUAUUAGCAUUUGGCAUCCCUUUACCUAAUUUCUGACUUCAUUAAAUUUGUCAGAGCACAUAUUUGAACCGAAUUAUCUUAAUAGUUUUCAACUAAAUGACAAAAGAGAGAAAGAAAUCAAAGGAAAAUACGGUGCUGCAGCGGCAACAACAAGGAACUAUCUAAUAGAAUUUGAAGUUUACAGAAUUUACCACCCAGUUCUUCAAUGCUGACUUCUUGAUCUUUCUUGUCUCAGCAGCUCCUUCAAACAUCGGAAGCACGGAUUCCACUUCCUCCUUGCUCAAAAAUCUCAUAAGAUCCUCUUCAUCUAUGUACCUAAGUACCCAAGAAGAAGAGGAAACACAUCAGGAGAGAUCAAAAAAAAAAAAGGCAAAGAGAUAUAAAGAAGGCAAUUGGAUUUUAAGAUCCAUCACUUGUGAUCAGGCUUGGCGACAUUUUUAAAAAUCCGGUAAGCCGCGGCCUUCGCUUCCCACUCACUAUUAAUCUCCCUAUCUUUCUGUUUCCAGCCUUCCUCGUCAAAGUUUUCGAUUGUGUUCGAGAUUGUAGUGAGCUCUGUAAAGUAUAAAUUCAGAAUUCAAGAUCAUAAUAUCAAAGCAGGAUGUCCUAUGUUCAAGCGCUUAAUUCAGAAUUCACAUCUUGGGCCAGCAGGAAGUCUCGAAAGCAGGCAUAAGGGGAGCAGUUAAUAUAAAUUAUCAAGAAUAACAUUCUCAAACAGCUUGAGCAUUUACAGAAGUUAGUUCUUUCACGACCUGAAGUCCUGAUCACAUUGAUUAGUCCCCUCAUUGUCCAAGCCGAGACCUUCUCCUGAUCCAUCUUAUGAAGCUUCCCGACAUCAAUCACUGCUUGUUCUUCCCCUCCUUUAGCCUUCCCCUUCCCGGUGCUCCGAAAGCUUAACUGCCCUGUGCUCUUCUCUCUCCCUACCUUCUCCGCCAUCUCCAUCAACGGCGGCCCGGAGAGCGCCUGCAGCAGGUACUGAUGGAAAAUUGACUCUUGGAUCCGAUCGAAAAACUUGGUCAUGUGGAAAGAAGAAGCUAAUAUCUUCAUGCCGAGGGUUUUCGCGAGCCAUAUUACCUAUCGAAUAUAAAACAUUACUCAUCAUUCUCUACCGGCUUAAACUUUUAGUUGAAAUUCAGAAAAUAUCAUAGCAAGAAGCCCUAAGCUCAAAUCUUCUAUUAGAAGUCCUUAAGCAUAGACACGAGGAGGAAUAUUAAAUAAGGGUAAAUUACACUUUUGGUCCUCAAAUUAUGGGGUGAGUGAUACUUUGGUCCUUAAUCUUUAAUUUGUUGUAAUUUUUGACAUGAACUUCUGAAUUAUUGCAAUCAAUUUCUGCAGUCCAAUUUAGUUAGCUGAAUAUUGAUAAAUUAUUGAUGCAGAAUUGAUAUAACAUCUUAACUUCUGCAUCAGCAAUUUGUCAACAUUUAGCCAACUAAAUUGAAUUGUAGAAAUUGAUUGCAAUAAUUCAGAAGUUCAUGUCAAAAAUUACAACAAAUUAAAGAUUAAGGACCAAAGUAUCACUCACCCCAUAAUUUGAGGACCCAAAGUGUAAUUUAUCCUAUUAAAUAUUAAAGAGAAAAAUGUGUAGACCUUACCGAAACUUGAUUAAAACAUUUUGAUUUUACUACCCUACCUUAUAAUAUUUUUAAAAAUUCGAAAGUUUUAAUCGUACUACCUAAUAUACGCAGUAUUAAUGACAUUUUGAUGGAAUAUUCUAUAGCCAAACGGAAUAUUCUGUCAAAAAUUUUACAAUUUGUCUAAGUUUGGAUAGUAAAAUAAAAAAUUUUGAACUCAUGUUAUGUAGUAAAACUUUAACUUUUGAAGUUGCAGGUAUAUAUUUCAAAAUAAGUUACAGUUCAGGUAAGAUCUAUAUAUCUCUCUAGUAGCUUAGAAUGUGGAGAUUAAAACCCACGAACUCACAUUCAGAAAGGGGUUUAUAAUUGACUCGAAUACCAUGUUAUCUGAAAGAUCGAUCCAGUAGAAAACAUGCACGGAAAUAUAUAUUAACAAUUUCACAGUUACCGAUCCGAUCAGGAGCGACGCGAGAAAGCGGGAGACGUAAUUGAGGAUCUUCGUCAUCUUCUUCGACCUCUCGAGCCCUUGAUUGAAGAGAAGGGACCAGGAAAGGAGCACAAGCCCCAGCCAAAUGCAAGCUCGCACACUAUCCUUCAACCCGUAGACGAAGUAGAGCACCUUCUUCUUCAAAAGGAAGUUCCUUUCGAUCAUGAAGACGAGCAAAUCGAUGAGCCACUGCGUCACCAAACCCCCGCAGCCGAUCACCGUCACCAUCAAGCACCAUUUCCAAAUCUCCAAGCCCCAGAUCACGGAUCCCUGGAGCUUGCGCACGGUUAAGCUCGCGAUGAGGCACCCCAUGGCGAGGAUCAGGAUCGCCCACUCGACCAGAGCCCCGAGUCUCCACCGCCGACGCCGAUUCGCCUUCGCGUUGAUAUGCUGCUCCUUCUUGUAGAUCUCCUCGUCCUCCUCUUCCUCGUCGUCCGCGUCGAGUAACGGCGUUUUGGGGGUGCCCAGGGACGCCCUAGGGUUUGGGGAGGUCGAGCUCGGGGUCGGGGCCGCCGCCGCCGCGGAGGAGUGGGGAGGGUGCUCGACGAAGCGGGAUUUGGGCUUGGAGAUGGAUCUGCAGCGGAUUAGGGUUUCGGGAUUGGGGGUUCGUGGGAGCUUCCUAGGGCUCGGCGCCUUGGCGAUCUCCGGGGAGGGGUUUCCGACGCGCGGGGGCGAUGAUUUCGGCGCCGAAUCCUCGAAACCUUCGACAUUCGCAGAAGAAGUCGGCGCCGACUUUGCUGCUGCUGCUGCUGCUGCUGCGCCGGUUUGGAUUACGACGACGACUUCGCCUUGCUUUCGAUCAAUGCUCCUCUCUUUGUGAGCAUCGUCGUCCAUGGCCAACGAAGAGACAAAAAUACNAAUUAUCUUAAUAGUUUUCAACUAAAUGACAAAAGAGAGAAAGAAAUCAAAGGAAAAUACGGUGCUGCAGCGGCAACAACAAGGAACUAUCUAAUAGAAUUUGAAGUUUACAGAAUUUACCACCCAGUUCUUCAAUGCUGACUUCUUGAUCUUUCUUGUCUCAGCAGCUCCUUCAAACAUCGGAAGCACGGAUUCCACUUCCUCCUUGCUCAAAAAUCUCAUAAGAUCCUCUUCAUCUAUGUACCUAAGUACCCAAGAAGAAGAGGAAACACAUCAGGAGAGAUCAAAAAAAAAUAAGGCAAAGAGAUAUAAAGAAGAAGGCAAUUGGAUUUUGAGAUCCAUCACUUGUGAUCAGGCUUGGCGACAUUUUUAAAAAUCCGGUAAGCCGCAGCCUUCGCUUCCCACUCACUAUUAAUCUCCCUAUCCUUCUGUUCCCAGCCUUCCUCGCCAAAGUUUUCGAUUGUGUUCGAGAUUGUAGUGAGCUCUGUAAAGUAUAAAUUAUCAUAAGACCAUAAUAUCAAAGCAGGAUGUCCUAUGUUCAAGCACUUAAUUCAGAAUUCACAUUUUGGGCCAGCAGGAAGUCUCGAACGCAGGCAUAAGGGGAGCAGUUAAUAUAAAUUAUCAAGAAUAACAUUCUCAAACAGCUUGAGCAUUUACAGAAGUUAGUUCUUUCACGACCUGAAGUCCUGAUCACAUUGAUUAGGCCCUUCAUUGUCCAAGCCGAGACCUUCUCCUGAUCCAUCUUAUGAAGCUUCCCGACAUCAAUCACUGCUUGUUCUUCCCCUCCUUUAGCCUUCCCCUUCCUGGUGCUCCGAAAGCUUAACUGCCCUGUGCUCUUCUCUCUCCCUACCUUCUCCGCCAUCUCCAUCAACGGCAGCCCGGAGAGCGCCUGCAGCACGUACUGAUGGAAAAUUGACUCUUGGAUCCGAUCGAAAAACUUGGUCAUGUGGAAAGAAGAAGCUAAUAUCUUCAUGCCAAGGGUUUUCGCGAGCCAUAUUACCUAUCGGAUAUAAAACAUUAAUCAUCAUUCUCUACAACUUAAACUUUUAGCCGAAACAUAAAACUCACAACAUAUAAGAGCAAGAAGCCCUAAGCUCAAGUCUCCUAUUAGAAGUCUUAACCACAGACAUGAGGAGGAAUAUUAAAUAGUGUAAAUUAAGCUUUUGCUCUUCAAAACUAUUGGGCGCGUGACACUUUGGUCCUUAAACUUUAAUUUUUUGUAAUUUUUGCCUCAAACUUUCUAAAUUAUUGCAAUCACCUCCUACAAUUCAAUUUAGUUGGCUAAAUGUUGACAAAUUGUUGAUGUAGUAGUGAUGUAAAAAUAUUAUGAUCGAUGAUGCGAGAAUAGUUAAGAUGCUAUAUCACUUAUGCACAAAUAAUUUGUCAAUAUUUAACUAACUAAAUUGGACUACAGAAAUUGAAUGCAAUAAUUUAGAAAGUUCGUAUCAAAAAUUACAACAAAUUAAAGAUUUAAGGACUAAAGUGUCCCGUGCCCCAUAGUUUGAGGACCAAAAGUGUAAUUUAUCCUAUUAAAUAUUAAAGGUAAAAAUGUGUAGACCUUACCGAAACUAUAGUGCAUCUUGAUUAAAACAUUUUGAUUUUACUAUCUGAACUUAUAAUAUUUUAAAAAAUCGUAUAACUUUUAAUUAUACUACCAAAUAUUCGCUGUACUAAUGACACAUUGAUGGAAUAUUCUGUAGCCAAACAGAAAAUUCUGCAAAAUUUUUUACAAAUUGUCUAAGUUUGGAUAGUAAAAUUAAAAUUUUUAAAUUCAUGUUAUGCAGUAAAUACUUUUAACUUUUAACUUUUGAAGUUAUGAGCAUAUAUUUCAAAAUAAGUUAUAGUUCAUAGUUCAGGUAAGAUCUAUAUAUUCUCUAACAACUUAAGCUUUUAGACAAAGCAAUCAAAUAAUAACCUGUUAAAUGUUGAAUAUAUGUGGGUAUUGAACUCCACGACCUCACAUACCCAAGGGGUUUAGAAUUGGCUCGGAUACCAUGUUAUCUAAAAGAUCGAUCUAGUAGGAAACAUGUACGGAAAUAUAUAUUAACAAUUUCACAGUUACCGAUCCGAUCAGGAGCGAUGCGAGAAAGCGGGAGACGUAAUUGAGGAUCUUCGUCGUCUUCUUCGACCUCUCGAGCCCUCCAUUGAAGAGAAGGAACCAGGAAAGGAGCACAAGCCCUAGCCAAAUGCAAGCUCGCACACUAUCCUUCAACCCGUAGACGAAGUAGAGCACCUUCUUCUUCAAAAGGAAGUUCCUUUCGAUCAUGAAGACGAGCAAAUUGAUGAGCCACUGCGUCACCAACCCCCCGCAGCCGAUCACCGUCACCAUCAAGCACCAUUUCCAAAUCUCCAAGCCCCAGAUCACGGAUCCCUGGAGCUUGCGCACGGUUAAGCUCGCGAUGAGGCACCCCAUGGCGAGGAUCAGGAUCGCCCACUCGACCAGAGCCCCGAGUCUCCACCGCCGACGCCGAUUCGCCUUCGCGUUGAUAUGCUGCUCCUUCUUGUAGAUCUCCUCGUCCUCCUCUUCCUCGUCGUCCGCGUCGAGGAACGGCGUUUUGGGGGUGCCCAGGGACGCCCUAGGGUUUGGGGAGGUCGAGCUCGGGGUCGGGGCCGCCGCCGCCGCGGAGGAGUGGGGAGGGUGCUCGACGAAGCGGGAUUUGGGCUUGGAGAUGGAUCUGCAGCGGAUUAGGGUUUCGGGAUUGGGGGUUCGUGGGAGCUUCCUAGGGCUCGGCGCCUUGGCGAUCUCCGGGGAGGGGUUUCCGACGCGCGGGGGCGAUGAUUUCGGCGCCGAAUCCUCGAAACCUUCGACAUUCGCAGAAGAAGUCGGCGCCGACUUUGCUGCUGCUGCUGCUGCUGCGCCGGUUUGGAUUACGACGACGACUUCGCCUUGCUUUCGCUCAAUGCUCCUCUCUUUGUGAGUAUCAUCAUCGUCCAUGGCCAAUGAAGAGACAAAAAAAACCCAAAAAAAAAAAAAAAAUCCUUGAGAAGCGCUUCUGAGUGAAGCAGUAGUAGAUUUUUUUUUUAGAGAAGUGCUUCUAAAUUGUGCGUGGGAGUGCGAGAGAAAAAAAAAAAAGAAAAAAAAGAAAAAAAAAAAGUAGCCGUUAAGGAAUUUAAAAAAUGGAUUUUGCCUUUUUAACAAUGCGCACGAAAUCGGAGAAAGGGGUACGCGAUGGAUCGCGAACAAUGCGGGUAUCGCUUGUGAUUCCGCCACGUGUCAAAAUACGUGGUUUCGUAGGAGGAAAAUGGUGGUUGGUGUUCGCGAGCGAACAGGAAAAGUUAUCUACGGAAAGUUGGGCGAGGUACGGAGUGCAAUGGUGAUGUCGACUAGUGCUAGCCCGGGAGCCGACAUAAACUCGGAACUGGAACCUCCUCCCGUUGGAAAAAUUUUAGAAUGCAACGUUUAUAUUGAUGACGUGACGUAAUAAAUUAAUUAAAUAUUUUUUUAAAAAUAUAUGUUUAAUUAUGAUUAUAAAAAAAUAUUUUUAUUGUAUUUUUAUUUGAAAAGAAGAAAUGCGAUUGACUUGUUAUUGAUGACGUGAUACAAGUAUGAUAGUGUAGAAUUCCUCCCUCCGUUGAUCUGUGCGAUCGAUCUUUGUGCUGGAUCUAUCUUAGCCGUUCAAUAUAUACGAAAAUUAACAUGCAUAAAAAUUUAGUUGAGUUGUGGUAAUGGUGUCCGAGUUGAGUUAGAAUACUCUCAAAAGUACCAUAAAGGUAGUGCUUUGGGCCCUGCUUGGUUCGGAGGAUAAGUGAGGAUAACGAAAGUUAUCCCCGCUAUUCCGCCAAACGGGGUGAAAUUUGGUCGGAAUAUUUUAUUCCGGUCAAACCUUUCUAUUUCCGGUUAUUUCGGAAUAACAAGUGAUUUGCUAUUCCACCAUUUUGGUGGAAUAGUACUAUUCCAAUGCUUAAUUUCAAACGUAAUUUAAAUUAUAAAUUGAAUUAAAACUUAAUUAUAUAAAUAUUAUAUGUUAUAUAAUAUAAUAUAUUAUUUUUAUUAUAAAAUUAUUAAUUGUACUAUAUUAAUACAUAUUAUUUAUAUUUAAAUAUUAUAAUAAAUUAUAUUUUAAUAUUAUAAAAUUUAAAGUUUAAAAUUUAAAAAUUAAAAUUUUAAUUUAAAAAUAUAAAUUUAAAAUUUUAAAAAUUCAAAUUCAAAUAUAAUAAGAGGGUAAUAUCAUUAUUUUUUUAUUUAUAAAAACCCACUUUCUUUCUUGUUUCAUCUUACCUAACCAAGCGCUAUGUUUUUUAUUCCCAGAAAUAAUCCAAUUUUUAUCCAAACGUAAAAUUGAUCUAAUCCCCGCUUCUACCUCAAUUUAUAUCUAUUUCUGGAAUAGCCACUUUUUGCUUAUCCUCGAACCAAACGAUAUCUUUGAGUUUUUAGCGAUUAGAUGAAGAGAUAUGAGAUUGAGAUGAUAGUGAUAGGUAGUAAUAGAUGGAAUAGUGUUUGAUCCAAAGGCUAUUAGUAAUCAAGGAGUAGAUUCAAGGACUAGAAACUUAGAACCACUAAGGGUGCUUUUAAAAGUAUUAUUCUAGCUCAAUUCGAUGGUGUCCAACCUUUAUCCAAAUUUUUAUUCUCGUCCCCCCCCUUUUUUUUUUCUCUUCCUUUUAAUAUUUUUUAAAAAUAAUAUACUACUCAUUUUGAUUAUUUUUUAAAAAUAUAGCUGCAGCUAUUAAGUGCUUUGCCACUUAUGCUAGUAAUGACCGAUAAUUUUUCUUUUAAUAAGAUUCUUAACCUUCGUAGGAUUAGUUGCUCUGUCAAUUUUUAACUUCUCUUUUAUGAGUUAAAUAGAGCUUUAUUAGAAUUGACAUGGUUUAUUUUAUUGAAGUUAAUAGAAAUUGAGACGAUUGAGACUUGAUUACGGAAAAAAAAAAAAAAUGAUAUCAAAAAAUAUAUAUAGGCCAAAUUAAAAAUACUAAUAAUAAUAAUAACAAAGAAUAAAAGAUAAAUGUUGGGAUAUUGAUACAGCUAUCCUUUUUUCGUCUGCUGGACACUCUUUAGAAUAAAGAAAUACUGCUGGUACACCUUUGGAGCAGGUGAUCUUAUAUUUCAGUCAUCUAAAAUAAUUAAGUAAAAAUUUAUUAUUUCAGAGAUAAAGUUAAAUUCAGAAUUAAGGUAGAAUUAAAAUAAUUUUGUAUUUGGUUGAGAAUUAAAUUUAGUCCAAGUAUAAAUAAAAUAGUAUUUAAUUAGAAUAGAUGGGAUAAGAAAGAUAGUGGAUAAAUUAGUAUUUUGUUUGGUUAGAAUAGUGAAGUAGAAUUAGCUAACCCCACCUCCCAAAUUAGGUGUUUAAAAAUAACUUCGGAGUUAAGAAGUUAUUCGACCCCUUAAACCCCGAACCAAACGGAUGCUUACCUAUUAGUUUCAUUUCCUUUUCAUGGCAAAAAAAAAUUAUGUAAAUAUUUAUGAACCGGACGGAGGUACAAAAUUUAUACUUAUGUAUUAACGUACAAGCAGCGUUUUCUUUUUCAAGAAGUGAAUAUACUUUGUACUUUGUACCUCCGUCCAAAGCAGAAGGAUGGUGGAGAGCGCAACUUCAAUGGGGAGCCUCUUCAACAAGAUCUCGUUGAGAUAAUUUGGUGAGCCCGUCUGAUUCACCCCGCGCCUGAAUCUUAAAUGUUUGGUUCUAAUCUAAAAGUUUUAACCCCCGAUCCUUAAUACUGGAUUAAUCAGCAAAUUUAAAAGAUGUCCAGUAAGCUGGAAUGAGGAGCUCCUCAUCCAAGCAUUUUCCGCCGGUGUAUGUGACCGUCUCAAGUUCCCCAACCACUACCGCGCUAAACAUCAAUGGGGAGGCUCAAUUUUACAGCAAUAUCCCGCUAAACUUGCUUAAGUAAACAAAAGUCGACGCAGAAUCCUCGACCAGACAAAGACUUCGAACGAGCCUAAAUGGCUUGACUGAUCGCUAAAGGUAGCGGGUUGGAGCCGACGUAGCUAAGCUGAACUUGGUGGGGCGGGAGGUGAUACUGGAUCGAGAGCUCUUCGAAGAUCUUCUUGAGCUCGAGGACGAGCUCCGAUCGCCUGCCGUUCUUCUCGCUGAUGUUUUGGAAGUUGAUGGUGUGCUGAACAUACAAAGCCAUGUUCAUCUUGUUCACAUUCACAAUGUCCUUCACCACUAUGCUGUGGUUCGGCUGCCAAUGGGUGGGCUUACUCUCGAUAUAACUGAGAGACCACAC